AGAACGUCGCUGCCGAUGCAGGACAGCACCAGGACGAUCAACUGCAAUCAGAGAGAGAGAGUUUCUGUGGCUUUGUGACGAGCGGCGAAUUACAAUCCAGCAUAAUGAAGUAUCUCCGCAUCAAUACCCAUCGACUCAACGAGACGAAACGAGACUCUCGAUCGCAUCCUGGCGCUGUGGAUUUCCAAAUGGAGCAAAUCGCAGUGACCCAGAAGAUAUUUUGUGGAAGAAGAAAGGCGCGAAGAGUAUAGCGGCAAAAAUCAAUGACGACCGAGUAUCGACCAUUGAGAGACAACAAUGUCGGCACACUUUUUCGCGAGCGAAAUAAAAAACUCGCCAGCGAAAUCUGCAUGCGUUCCACUUUGAUUCAAAUAUAUGCAAUGUCAAGAGUUAAUCAAAUGCGGAAGAAAGGUACGCAAAACCGAUGAAACUCACAGCGUAGAGUCGCAUAUCUUCUGCCUUAACGCAUUAAUGAGCGAGUCCUCUUCCGCACCGUCUUCCCGCUGUCGAUUUCCUCCCUUAGCUCCGAUCUGCCUGAAGGACGUCCGUCACGUAUCCGAAGCGCGCACUACGCAACGAUACAGUGUACUACUUGAUCCCGAAACGAUACAGUUGACUUAAGCCGAAGCUCCAGUUAUCCCCACGCGAGACGGACGAUUCGAGAAGCCGGCCGUUUACACACAGCGAGCAGCCACCUACAAAAUCCCUCCAGCAUCCUCGUCCGUGUCGCUUACCUGGCAAUCUCCUGGAGGAAGCCAGGAGUGGGGCGAAGAGAGUCGUCGCUCGAAGAAGGAACCAGGUGCGGAGGGUAAAUGGGAAUUGAAAAGGGAGAUGCGCGAGCGAUAGACAUGCGCGACGCACUCCGUAGAUUUGUUUCCGCAAUUAAACGGUGGCGGAAAUUAACCCCUCGACGCCUGAAGCUAGGAAUUCCUUCUCAAAUCAAAUGGACCCUCUCCGAACUUCUUUCUUCCAGAAAAAUUAUCACACGCCAGAUAUAAUCGGUUUCCAUUGUCUUGUGUUCAACAGUAGCGAAGUCGGUAGCGGAACACGAGGUCGUGAAAGUGACAUUGGCUGCAUGUAGAGGGGACUUUAAUGACUCUCUUCUCAAUUUUCCUCUCCUUCAUUCUCAAAUAUUAUGCAUGCCAUUAUACUUACGACGCUCGAUUUCACCGGGGCAAUUAAAUUGAUUUUCGAAUAGUUUUGACAAAAAAGACUGUCCGUUGUAACGUGUCUAAAAGAAAGAUUUAGGAGCGUGAAAUAGAAAUUGUACAAGAUACACUUAUAAAAGAAAAAAACUGUCUGAAUAUAAAUUUUUGAAUUUUUGAGAUUUAUUACUAAAAUUUAAAACAAAAUUGACAGUAAGAUAAUAAUUGCAAAAAGAUUCUAUAUUUUAAGAAUAUAUUUGUAAAUGUGAUAUUUGAAUUUAAAGCAAAAUAAUAUGUAACACACACACACACACACACACACAAAACGUUAUAUGUGUAGGAAGAAGAUAUUGACAAGCAAACAAAAAUUUAGAAUCGAAGCUGUAAAUCGUUUAUGAGACGCAUUACUUUUCUCCGUUUCACUUUUGCAUGCGUGAAUUCCUUAAAUAUCUUAAAUUAGAGUAUGAGAGCCAUUCGAUAUUGUCCGGAAAAGAAAGUUUGAAUUCUCAUUAAUAACAACGGCGUUUUGUUUGUCAAAACUCUUGGAAUGUCUUUAACUUAAAUCCAUCAGACGAUCAUACAAUUCGCAACAGAUUCAGGACAGAAUUUUAUUUAUAACUUCAUAUAUGUCAUAUAAGACAGACGAAAUAAAAUAUUAAAAAGAUAUAUAUAUCAGAAUUCAUACAUAUAUUAGGAAACGAUAUUAAAAUAGAUUUCUAUUCUGAAUUUUGUCAUCGAGUUAUAAAUCGGGUAAAAUCGGGCUUUGAAAAUUAUCGGUACCCCUCAACAUUAUCAACUUCAUCAACAUUAUGAACAACCGUAAUAUGAUGUUUUCGCUACACCGUACAGCUUUCGUUUUGCCAAAGAAAGAAUCGCCAAUUCUACUCUCAUUCCUUCAUUUUCCUCUCUGGUUUUCCCCUAUCCCAUAUGCGGUAAGUUGUAUGCCACGAAAUCGGAACACGCGAAUACUAAUAUAUACCAACUUCGUUCGGUACAUGCCUACUAUUUCCCAACUUUAACCGUUAACCGGAACUGCAUACUUUUUCCGCUUAUUUUUCAUGUAAAACAGUUAUAACGAAUGAGUUAUAAUAUAGGAAAAAAGAAUAAUCAUAUUAUCGUCAACAAGUAGUAAUUAUUUUAUUGUCUUAAAACGAUAAAAAUAAAUUUUUCGACUUUUACGAAUUCCGGAAAUAUUAAUCCAUGGAGAACCCAGCCACAAAAUUCCAGACCGACAAGUACGCAAUUUUUAACUAUAUGAUAAAAAAUUGAGUAUUUAUUUAUAUAUAUUAAUGAAUACUUAUCGAACAAUUAUUUAUUAACAUAUUAAUGAUAUUCUUCUUAUACACAUAAGAAUUCAAUCCCGAUAAUCUUUUGUAUUUAAC